rnacentral:rRNA from 1 species
AGGUUGGCUCAGAAGCAGCCAUCCUUUAAAGAGUGCGUAACAGCUCACUAGUCGAGUGACCCUGCGCCGAAAAUGUACCGGGGCUAAGCCUGAUACCGAAACUGCGGAUUGUAGGAAACUAUAGUGGUAGGGGAGCGUUGUAUACGAGCAGAAGCCGUACCGUGAGGAGCGGUGGAUUGUAUAGAAGUGAGAAUGCCGGUGUGAGUAGCGAGAUGUAGGUGAGAAUCCUACACACCGAAAGCCCAAGGAUUCCAGGGGAAGGUUCGUCCGCCCUGGGUAAGUCGGGACCUAACGCGAGGCCGAAAGGCGUAGUGGAUGGAAAGCAGGCGAAAGAUUCCUGCACCCGUAUAUGGAGCGAAGGAGUGACGGAGACGGAUAGUGUGACCCUCUUAAUGGAUUGAGGGCGAAGCGAAGCGGCUGGUUACCAGGCAAAUCCGGUAACCAAAAGGCUAGAGCGUGACAGGUAAGCGAAAUCUUCGGAAAGUAGCGAAGCACAUGAUGACGGCUUCCAGGAAAAGCUUCUGGCAAUGCAUAUGCGGCCCGUACCAAAACCGACACAGGUGGGCAGGGAGAGAAUCCCGAGGUGAGCGAGAGAACUGUUGCCAAGGAACUCGGCAAAAUGACUCCGUAAGUUAGCGAGAAGGAGUGCUUAAGCAAUUAAGCCGCAGUGAAGAGGCCCAAGCGACUGUUUAACUAAAACACAGCUCUCUGCGAAGUCGCAAGACGAAGUAUAGGGGGUGACACCUGCCCGGUGCUGGAAGGUUAAGAGGAUCUGUUAAGAGCGAUCUGAAGCAGUGAUCCGAAGCCCCAGUGAACGGCGGCCGUAACUAUAACGGUCCUAAGGUAGCGAAAUUCCUUGUCAGGUAAGUUCUGACCCGCACGAAAGGUGUAACGAUUUGGGCGCUGUCUCGGCAGCAGACUCGGUGAAAUCUUAGUACCUGUGAAAAUGCAGGUUACCCGCAACUAGACGGAAAGACCCCAUGGAGCUUUACUGCAGCCUGAUAUUGAAUUCUGGUCAUACAUGUACAGGAUAGGUGGGAGACAAAGAGACGUGCACGCCAGUGUACGAGGAGUCGACGUUGGGAUACCACUCUUGUGUGACCGGGGUUCUAACCUGGUAUCGAGAACAGGUACGGGGAGAGUGUCAGGUGGGCAGUUUGACUGGGGCGGUCGCCUCCCAAAGAGUAACGGAGGCGCCCAAAGGUACGCUCAGAUUGGAUGGAAACCAAUCGUCGAGUGCAAUUGCAGAAGCGUGCUUGACUGUGAGACAGACAAGUCGAACAGGGACGAAAGUCGGGAAUAGUGAUCCGGCGGUGCCGAAUGGAAGGGCCGUCGCUCAACGGAUAAAAGCUACCCUGGGGAUAACAGGCUGAUCUCCCCCAAGAGUCCACAUCGACGGGGAGGUUUGGCACCUCGAUGUCGGCUCAUCGCAUCCUGGAGCUGAAGUCGGUUCCAAGGGUUGGGCUGUUCGCCCAUUAAAGCGGUACGCGAGCUGGGUUCAGAACGUCGUGAGACAGUUCGGUCCCUAUCUGUUGUGGGCGAAGGAGAUCUGCGGAGAGCUGUCCUCAGUACGAGAGGACCGGGAUGGACCUACCGCUGGUGCACCGGUUGUUCCGCCAGGGGCAUAGCCGGGUAGCUAAGUAGGGAAAGGAUAAGCGCUGAAAGCAUCUAAGCACGAAGCCUACUCCAAGAUGAGAUCUCCCAUUCGCAAGAAGUAAGACCCCUUAAAGACGAUAAGGUAGAUAGGCCAGGGAUGGAAGUGCAGUGAUGUACGGAGUUGACUGGUACUAAUCGGUCGAGGACUUAAUCAG